GACGAACGCUGGCGGCGUGCCUAAUACAUGCAAGUCGAGCGAAGUUUUUCUGGUGCUUGCACCGGAAAAACUUAGCGGCGAACGGGUGAGUAACACGUAAAGAACCUGCCUCAUAGACUGGGACAACUAUUGGAAACGAUAGCUAAUACCGGAUAAUAGCAUUAACUGCAUGGUUGAUGUUUGAAAGUUGGUUUUGCUAACACUAUGAGAUGGCUUUGCGGUGCAUUAGCUAGUUGGUGGGGUAAAAGCCUACCAAGGCGACGAUGCAUAGCCGACCUGAGAGGGUGAUCGGCCACACUGGGACUGAGACACGGCCCAGACUCCUACGGGAGGCAGCAGUAGGGAAUCUUCCGCAAUGGGCGAAAGCCUGACGGAGCAACGCCGCGUGAGUGAAGAAGGAUUUCGGUUCGUAAAGCUCUGUUGUUAGGGAAGAAUGAUUGUGUAGUAACUAUACACAGUAGAGACG
rnacentral:rRNA from 1 species